CUGGGCUCAAAGGUCCCUGCUGUCAGUCUGUAGUCUGAAAAGGAUACGUGUUGCCAUGUAAACUGGCUGGGCAGUAUGGAUUGCCCUCUGGGGAUCCUGACUCAUUGGCUCUAAUUCACGUGGUGCAUGUCAAUCAGCUGCUCCCUGUGGUUGUGGCCAGAGGGCCGCCAUAAUUUCUCCGGGUCAAUGGUAGAAAAUUGAUUUUCUUAUGUAUACUGCUACCAGAAAAUGAAACAUUUGCUUUCCAUGUAAUGCAAUAUUUUAUCUGUACCUGGUUUGGUUCAGGAGUCAAUGUAUAUACAUGCUUAAAUGAAA
rnacentral:lncRNA from 1 species